rnacentral:rRNA from 1 species
GCCCUUAGAGUUUGAUCAUGGCUCAGAACGAACGCUGGCGGCAGGCUUAACACAUGCAAGUCGAGCGAAGCCUUCGGGCUUAGCGGCGGACGGGUGAGUAACGCGUGGGAACGUGCCCCUUGGUACGGAAUAGUCCCUGGAAACGGGGUUUAAUACCGUAUGAGCUCUUCGGAGGAAAGAUUUAUCGCCAAGGGAUCGGCCCGCGUUGGAUUAGGUAGUUGGUGGGGUAAUGGCCUACCAAGCCGACGAUCCAUAGCUGGUUUGAGAGGAUGAUCAGCCACACUGGGACUGAGACACGGCCCAGACUCCUACGGGAGGCAGCAGUGGGGAAUCUUAGACAAUGGGGGAAACCCUGAUCUAGCCAUGCCGCGUGAUCGAUGAAGGCCUUAGGGUUGUAAGGAUCUUUCGCUGGGGAAGAUAAUGACGGUACCCAGUAAAGAAGCCCCGGCUAACUCCGUGCCAGCAGCCGCGGUAAUACGGAGGGGGCUAGCGUUGUUCGGAAUUACUGGGCGUAAAGCGCGCGUAGGCGGACUGGAAAGUUGGGGGUGAAAUCCCGGGGCUCAACCCCGGAACUGCCUCCAAAACUGUCAGUCUGGAGUUCGAGAGAGGUGAGUGGAAUUGCGAGUGUAGAGGUGAAAUUCGUAGAUAUUCGCAGGAACACCAGUGGCGAAAGCGGCUCACUGGCUCGAUACUGACGCUGA